rnacentral:lncRNA from 1 species
AUGAUCAACUGUUGCUUGCCACAUGUUUCUUUCUUUCCCUAUGAAAAUUGGUGUCAGAAAGGAUGGUAUAUUUCACUUUUCAUCUUUUAUCUACUUUCACUUUCACUGCUUCUCCUUCAGCAUACUUUAAGGUGGGAAGGAAAAUGAAUCAUCAGCUGUGAUGCAGAUCUCCUAUGGAACGACAGGAUUUGCCUCCAGUGCUGGAAUUGUGAUCACUCUCCUUAUUGGCUCCCAUUCCAUGCUCCAUUUGAAUGCAGACAGUUCUUCAAUCAGACAAGAAAAUUUUGAGGUGGUGGAAACAAAAGAACAGCAUCAGAGAUUGGAAGUUACCCUGAAAUAUUCAUGUAUUUCUGAAACAGAGUCUGUAUGUGCUAACCACCAGGAUCUGAAACUCAUCAAUCAAGCCCAAAUUUCUUCAGGAUCCAUAAGGGACCAACAGAUACUUACCACCACCUGCUGCAGAUGAGUCUCUAUAUGCUAAGCUAACCACCAGGAUCUCAAACUCAUCAAUCAAGCCACAGUUUCUCUCAGGAUCAUAAGGGGCCAAUAGAUGCACAUGACCACCUGCUGCAGAAGGUAUUGUAAAACAACCUCCAUUUUUUCACUUUCAACAUUAUUUGAUUUGCCUGAUAACAAAUCAAUUGAAAUAAUAAA